rnacentral:rRNA from 1 species
GACGAACGCUGGCGGCGUGCUUAACACAUGCAAGUCGAACGGAAAGGCCCUGCUUUUGUGGGGUGCUCGAGUGGCGAAAGGGUGAGUAACACGUGAGUAACCUGCCCUUGACUUUGGGAUCACUUCAGGAAACUGGGGCUAAUACCGGAUAGGAGCUCCUGCUGCAAGGUGGGGGUUGGAAAGUUUCGGCGGUUGGGGAUGGACUCGCGGCUUAUCAGCUUGUUGGUGGGGUAGUGGCUUACCAAGGCUUUGACGGGUAGCCGGCCUGAGAGGGUGACCGGCCACAUUGGGACUGAGAUACGGCCCAGACUCCUACGGGAGGCAGCAGUGGGGAAUAUUGCACAAUGGGCGGAAGCCUGAUGCAGCAACGCCGCGUGCGGGAUGACGGCCUUCGGGUUGUAAACCGCUUUCGCCUGUGACGAAGCGUGAGUGACGGUAAUGGGUAAAGAAGCACCGGCUAACUACGUG